UACGUAGGUGGCAAGCGUUGUCCGGAUUUAUUGGGUUUAAAGGGUGCGUAGGAGGGCAGGUAAGUCAGUGGUGAAAUCUCCAAGCUUAACUUGGAAACUGCCGUUGAUACUAUCUGUCUUGAAUACCGUGGAGGUGAGCGGAAUAUGUCAUGUAGCGGUGAAAUGCUUAGAUAUGACAUAGAACACCAAUUGCGAAGGCAGCUCGCUACACGAAUAUUGACUCUGAGGCACGAAAGCGUGGGGAUCAAACAGG
rnacentral:rRNA from 1 species